AAUUCUAGAGUGUUCUCCACUUCUCCCAAAAUUCUACCCUAAUCUCAUUACAGAUCCGCCGUUCUCACUUUCCAGAUUCAACGCCUCAAACAUUUUCUACAAUUCAAGUAUUCUCCACAAGCCACGGCUGCCGAUGCUCUCCCUCUUCAUCUCUCUCCCUCUGCCUCACCCUCUAUUUCUUAAUCCCAUCUCCCUCGACCUAUCUGAUUUCGCGACAGAACGGCGGUAAAGCCCUACAUCCCCAAUCCACCCACUCCGCCCUCACAUCUAGGCACUGCGUCGCUCCACGCGGCGUCGCCUCCUUCCUCGCCGACAAUGAAUGCUCCGCCGCCUCCUUCAACAUAGCCCGUAUCCAGCCGCCGCCGUCCGGGUUUCAAACGACGGCUCCAGAUCUCGGCUUCUUCCCUAUGUGUUUUUUUGGCAUUAUUUUGGCAGAUUUGUGAUUAAACCCUUAGGCCAGGGCACGACUUGGUAUUAAACCCCACCCACCUCUCAUUCUCUGCUCAGCGCGCGACGACUUCAAAACCUAAAUCCACAUUUCCGUUCAAUCCACUAUGGAUCCGCAGCCCGAACCCGUAAACUACAUCUGCGGAGAUUGUGGGCAGGAGAACACGCUGAAGCCAGGGGAUGUGAUCCAGUGCCGUGAAUGUGGUUAUCGCAUCCUCUACAAGAAACGCACCCGCAGAAGUAUUACUAUUUCCCUUUUUCUUAUUCUGCCUUAUUGUUGCCUGUUUUUCGUUUCUCUUAUCGUUUCGAUUUCACAUCUUAAAUCAUGGUACAUACAAUAAUUCUGUAAUUUGUGGUAUAAGUUCUACAAUUUGGGGUUGGACGACUGAGUGUUUGAAGUGAAAUAGGUAUUAAUUUAUGGGGUAGUAAUUUAUCUUUCUGUGGCAAUGUGACUACUUUAUUACUCCAAAUUAAUAGUAUGAAUUAAUAGCCUUGGGACGACAAGAAUCUGUUAACUAAAAUUCG